CCCAUGGCAUGUCCGUGAAUGUAAAGUCCACUGGGAAUGUGGCAGCGCUUCGUGCGUUCUUUGGGUCAGAGAGGGUGAAAACCCCGUUUACAUUCAUUGUGGGGCGUGUCUGUUGUGUGGGCGUGUUGAAGAGUCGGAUUGUUUGGGAAUGCAAUCCAAAACAGGGUCCUAAAUACCGACUACCACUAAUAUAUUUAACAUAUAUACNNGGGGGGGGGGGGGGGGGAUUNUUGUUGGUUUUUUUUUUUUUAGU
rnacentral:rRNA from 1 species